AGGGCAGUUUUUUUUUUUCUUCUCAGAUUUAAGUGAUUUAAGCAUUUAAGUCCGCCGCGCAUGUGUUCUUGUGUGUUCCUUUUCAAUCGGUGGGGAUGGCGUCGGAAGCGGCAGAUGACUCGGAACGUGCUCCAAGGAGAGGUUUCAGGUGGUUCUCUAGUACACAACAAUUGGAACCUUCAAGCAAGUUCGAACAAAGUGCCGGGCUGCCUUCAACAGAAGACCACCCUCUCGGCCAACCAUCAUCAAGUGGGUGACAAGGUUUGCCCAGGACAAGAACAUGACAAACAAGUCUCCUAACCGCGUAGAAACGUCGCCGAAACGAAGACAGCAUCCAGCCGUUCUUGACGCUUUCGAUGCGCAGUCCCACCUUUUGAUCAGGCGUGCUGCUCGUCAGCUCAGCCUAAGCCGGGGCUUCGUGUGGGGUACGUAAAGGCCCAAGUGUACACCCGGCGAUCGAGGACCAUCUCGCAGCUGAAAGAACACAUCAUCGACGCGUUCGAGACCAUCAGUGAUGAUGUGCGGGAGGCCAUCUUCCAGGACUGCGAGAGGAGGCUGGGGCCAGCCAGGGCCCCUCUGGCAGCCUGGGUCCUUGGGCUACAGCCCCCUUAGCCCGUGCAUUAAUCCUGCCCUGGUGGGUGUGCCAAGCAUGACCGGAAGGAAAGUUUUGAAACGAGAUGACCUGUAUGCUGUACCUUGCCACUCAUCGCUGCUAGGAAUUUUUUGACACUUAAGAAGCAUGAAAAAAGCUGUGUCAUGCAGAGGACAUGUUGGGCCUUGAGAGUGAGAUUGAUCUUGGCUAAGGAAGAAGGAAAAAAAAGACAACAGAGAGCACUAAGUUCCAGCCCAGAAGCUGUAAUGAGACCGUCGUUGCCGCCACACUUCAUGAUCAAAAAAGCAGCUGGGAGACGUAGAUGAUCACUACCACAUUCGUUGGCAAGCUCCCAACCUUCAACACCUUCAGUAUCUGUGGCACAUGAUGAAACACUGCCAAAGAAUGGUGAACGAAUUGUACCGCAUGGAAAGAAUCUGCAUUCAACUGCGAUUCCGAAGACAUGUUUCAACAGGACACGUAAGCUAGGCAUUGCCUGUUUCGGGUUUAUGUGUCAGGCUUUAUAAUGCAUUCUUUUCGCUCGGAGAGCCAACCUAACCAGAAAAGCUAUGAACCACAGCAGCGCACCUCAUGGCAUUCAAGCAGAGUGCAGCAAAAUCCAGCAUCUGAGGAACAUACACUAACAAGCCCUAGGCCAUGUACCAGCAACGCAUAUGACUGCGAAAUUCGUGAAAGCUCCAGAUCAGGGCUAAACAGGCAGAUGGUUUGGCUUCUGCAGACUAUACUCAUCAGGGUUGAGCAUCAAGGCACCCAACUGGACGCCAUAUCCGCCAGGCUUUCUGAUGGCGGACUCGAGCUUCAAGAAGACUUAGAAGGACCAUUUUCUAAUAUACAAGACUUCGAAACGUUUGAUCAGGACUUGUCGGAGAACAAUGUGAUGAGGUUGAAGUUGAGCCCUUCUCUGUCUGAGGAUCGAGCUGUGUGAAACAACAUACAAGUCUGAAGUUUUUAGUUUCGGAUUAUGUUUUCUUGUGAUAAUUUUUUCAUAGUUUUUAGUCUUUUUCAAAGCUGUGCAAUCUUUCAGAAUUAUAAUCCUGUUCCUGAAAGUAAAGUUUAUAUUUCAGUC